CCCUUAGAUGUCCUGGGCCGCACGCGCGCUACACUGAUGCAUUCAACGAGUUCUACCUUGGCCGAGAGGCCUGGGCAAUCUUUUGAACCUGCAUCGUGAUAGGGAUAGAUUAUUGCAAUUAUUAAUCUUGAACGAGGAAUUCCUAGUAAACGCAGAUCAUCAAUCUGCAUUGAUUACGUCCCUGUCCUUUGUACACACCGCCCGUCGCACCUACCGAUUGAAUGGUCCGGUGAAGCCUCGGGAUUGUGGCGAGUUCCCUUUAUUGGGAGUUUGUCGCGAGAACUUGUCUAAACCUUAUCAUUUAGAGGAAGGUGAAGUCGUAACA
rnacentral:rRNA from 1 species